rnacentral:rRNA from 1 species
GACGGGGGGUCCAAGCGUUGUUCGGAAUCAUUGGGCGUAAAGCGUGUGCAGGUGGUCUUGAAAGUUAGGUGUGAAAUCCCCGGGCUCAACUCGGGAAGUGCACUUAAAACUACAAGACUUGAGUAAGGAAGAGGGUCGUGGAAUUCCAGGUGUAGUGGUGAAAUACGUAGAUAUCUGGAGGAACACCGGUGGCGAAGGCGGGCGAGCCUGGUCCUAUACUGACACUCAUACACGAAAGCGUGGGGAUCAAACAGGAGUUAAGAAACCCU